ACUGUAGCGCAAUGGAUAGCACGUUGGAUUUCUAAUUUAAAUGUCGUGGGUUCGAAUCCCACCUGGAAUA